CCCAGCGCUGAAGCGCUGGGCUAAAUUAUUUCGUCCUCCGGACU
rnacentral:sRNA from 1 species